ensembl:misc_RNA 7SK 7SK RNA
GGAGAUCUGGCUGCGACAUCUGUCACCCCAUUGAUCGCCAGGGUUGAUUCGGCGGAUCUGGCUGGCUAGGCAGGUGUCCCCUUCCUCCAUGUGCGUCCCUCCUGAAGCUGUGCGCUUGGUCGAAGAGGAUGACCAUCCCCGAUAGAGGAGGACCGGUCUUCGGUCAAGGGUAUACGAGUAGCUGCGCUCCCCUGCUACAACCUCCAAACAAGCUCUCAAAAUUGGGUGUUGGUGGCUCAUUCCUUUAAUCCUAGCUACUCAGAGGGCUGAGGUUUAAGGAUCCCUAUUCCUAGCC